ACGAACGCUGGCGGCGUGCUUAACACAUGCCAGUCGAACGGAAAGGCCCUGCUUUUGUGGGGUGCUCGAGUGGCGAACGGGUGAGUAACACGUGAGUAACCUGCCCCUGACUUUGGGAUAACUUCAGGAAACUGGGGCUAAUACCGGAUAGCAGCUCCUGCUGCCUGGUGGGGGUUGGAAAGUUUCGGCGGUUGGGGAUGGACUCGCGGCUUAUCAGCUUGUUGGUGGGGUAGUGGCUUACCAAGGCUUUGACGGGUAGCCGGCCUGAGAGGGUGACCGGCCACAUUGGGACUGAGAUACGGCCCAGACUCCUACGGGAGGCAGCAGUGGGGAAUAUUGCACAAUGGGCGGAAGCCUGAUGCAGCAACGCCGCGUGCGGGAUGACGGCCUUCGGGUUGUAAACCGCUUUCGCCUGUGACGAAGCGUGAGUGACGGUAAUGGGUAAAGAAGCACCGGCUAACUACGUG
rnacentral:rRNA from 1 species